GGAGUUAGCCGGUGCUUCUUCUGCGAGUAACGUCACAGCUAGCAGGUAUUAACUACUAACCUUUCCUCCUCGCUGAAAGUGCUUUACAACCCGAAGGCCUUCUUCACACACGCGGCAUGGCUGCAUCAGGGUUUCCCCCAUUGUGCAAUAUUCCCCACUGCUGCCUCCCGUAGGAGUCUGGGCCGUGUCUCAGUCCCAGUGUGGCUGAUCAUCCUCUCAGACCAGCUAGGGAUCGUUGCCUAGGUGAGCCAUUACCUCACCUACUAGCUAAUCCCACCUGGGCUUAUCCAUCAGCGCAAGGACCGAAGUUCCCCUGCUUUCCCCCGUAGGGCGUAUGCGGUAUUAGCAGUCGUUUCCAACUGUUAUCCCCCACAAAUGGGCAAAUUCCCAGGCAUUACUCACCCGUCCGCCGCUCGUCAUCUUCAAAAGCAAGCUUUUGAAAUGUUACCGCUCGACUUGCAUGUGUUAGGCCUGCCGCCAGCGUUCAAUCUGAGCCAUAAUCAAACUCUGA
rnacentral:rRNA from 1 species